rnacentral:rRNA from 1 species
UACAGAGGUGGCAAGCGUUGUUCGGAAUUACUGGGCGUAAAGGGCGCGUAGGCGGCCUUCUAAGUCAGACGUGAAAUCCCCCGGCUUAACCUGGGAACUGCGUCUGAUACUGGGAGGCUUGAGUAUGGGAGAGGGAUGUAGAAUUCCAGGUGUAGCGGUGAAAUGCGUAGAUAUCUGGAGGAAUACCGGUGGCGAAGGCGGCAUCCUGGACCAUUACUGACGCUGAUGCGCGAAAGCUAGGGGAGCAAACGGG